rnacentral:rRNA from 1 species
GACGAACGCUGGCGGCGUGCUUAACACAUGCAAGUCGAACGUGAUUUUUGUGGAAAUUCUUUCGGGAAUGGAAAUGAAAUGAAAGUGGCGAACGGGUGAGUAACACGUGAGCAACCUACCUUACACAGGGGGAUAGCCGUUGGAAACGACGAUUAAUACCGCAUGAGACCACAGAAUCGCAUGAUAUAGGGGUCAAAGAUUUAUCGGUGUAAGAAGGGCUCGCGUCUGAUUAGCUAGUUGGAAGGGUAAAGGCCUACCAAGGCGACGAUCAGUAGCCGGUCUGAGAGGAUGAACGGCCACAUUGGAACUGAGACACGGUCCAAACUCCUACGGGAGGCAGCAGUGGGGAAUAUUGCACAAUGGGGGGAACCCUGAUGCAGCGACGCCGCGUGAGCGAAGAAGGUUUUCGAAUCGUAAAGCUCUGUCCUAUGAGAAGAUAAUGACGGUAGCAGAGGAGGAAGCCCCGGCUAAAUACGUG